CAGGGUUAUAAUCACAAUAAUUUAAACUCACAUUUUGAAAUUUUGUACAUGUAUAAUACUUGGAAAGGAUUUUCUCAAUAUUGCAAAAAUUAAAAUUGCAUUUUAGACUUAAAUGACAAAAUUCGGUAAUAAAUGCACACAAUAAUUUCUGAAUUAACAGUAUCAAAUAUGCACCAUUUCAGCUUCUGCAGAAAUUAUGCAGUGGGACUAAUGCUUCUGAGCCUUGUUGGCCAAGGAAUAAACAAAGAAAUUUUUAGUAUAUAAUAUUUUGUUCAGGUUGUGC
rnacentral:lncRNA from 1 species